UUGGGAAGGUAAAUAUAUUAAGGGCCUAUGAAGGAUGCCUUGACAUAAAGAGCCGAUGAAGGACGUGGCGUGACUGCGAUAAGCCUCGGGGAAGUGUCUAGCAACUUUUGAUCCGGGGAUGUCCGAAUGGAGAAAUCCAACAUUGUAAAGCAAUGUUAUCCCGAUUUUAUAUCGGGAGGGGAACCUGAGGAAGUGAAACAUCUCAGUACUCAGAGGAAAAGAAAAUAAAUCAUUCGCGCUUCACUAUUGUUCAGCACUCAUAAAUAAUCAAUAACCAAUAACCAAUAAUCAAUCAAUAACCAAUAACCAAUAAUCAAUUCUUAAUUAAAUUAAUUAAUUGAAAAUUAAAUCAUUGAACAUUGAUUGAAAAUUGAAAAUUGAAAGUUGAAAAUUAAGCGAGUGCCGAGCGAUAGCGAGGCGCGAGCGAGCAUUCCCUAAGUAGCGGCGAGCGAAAAGGGAGAAGCCCAAACCUUUCGAUGCUUCGCAUCGGAAAUUCCAAGAAACAAGAAACAAGAAACAAACAAAUUCCAAAUUCUAAUAUUCAAUCUCUAAAUUAUUUGAGAUUUUGAAUUUGGUUAUUGAUUAUUGUUUGUAUCUUGGUAAUUGUAACUUGGCGCUUCCGCUGCGGAGCAGCGGUAGGGGUUGUAAGGUGAUAACGUUCUGGAGUCAUCCAGAGGGAGUUUUAAAAAAUAAAGGUUGGUUAAUUAAAUCUUGCUGGAAAGCAGAACCAAAGAGGGUAAAAGUCCCGUAGGUGAAAAUCUCUUUAUGCUCCUAGUUAUUGUCCCGACGUUAAGUCGGGAUCCCGAUCUCGCAUCGGGACUCUUAAGUACCUCGGGACCAGACUAUCCCGUGGGAAUCCGGCAGUCCUAUACUGCCAAGGCUAAAUACUCUUUAUGAUCGAUAGUGAACCAGUACCGUGAGGGAAAGGUGAAAAGUAGCCCGGUGAGGGCGGUGAAAUAGAACCUGAAAUCAUAGGCUUACAAAGAGUCGGAGGUCGCCUUAGGCGACUGACGGCGUGCUUUUUGCAGAACGAACCAACGAGUGUAUGUAGGUGGCUUGCCUAAGUUUGUCUAGAACGAAGGCACAGUGAAAGCAAGGGUUAAUAGCCCGUUUGUCGCCUGGAUACGACCCGAAGCCAAAGCGAGCUAACCAUGGCCAGGAUGAGUCCCGGGUAAAACCGGGAGGAGGUCCGCACCCACCGGCUGUGCAACACCGGGGGAUGAGCUGUGGUUAGAAGUGAAAAGCUAAUCGAGCUUGGUAAUAGCUGGUUCUUCCCGAAAUAGCUUUAGGGCUAGCCUUUCGUUAAUGUUUUUAGGGGUAGAGCACUGGAUGGAGUAAAAUGGGAUUUAUCCUGCUUGCUUCAAUCAAACUCCGAAUACUAAAAAUUUAUGCGAGAGAGUCAGACUGUGGGGGCUAAGCUCCAUGGUCGAGAGGGAAACAGCCCAGACUGUAGUCUAAGGUCCCUAAAUCAAACUCAGUGGGAAAGGAAGUGAGACCUCUCUGACAGCUAGAAGGUUGGCUUAGAAGCAGCCAUCCUUUAAAGAGUGCGUAACAGCCCACUAGUUCAGAGAUUUUGCGCCGAAGAUUUAACGGGGCUUAAGUUUGAUACCGAAGACACAGGGCGUUCGCCUUAGGCGAACGUUGGUAGGGAAGCGUUCUUUACGCGCUGAAGCUUAAGCGUGAGCUUGAGUGGAGUGUAAAGAAGUGAGAAUGUUGGUAUGAGUAACCACAAAUCCGGUGAGAUACCGGAUCGCCGAAAACCCAAGGUUUCCUUGGCAAUGAAUAUCAGCCAAGGGUUAGGCGGGCCUAAGCUUUGCGUGCUUUAUCUAAGGUACGUCAUGGCGAUGGACAGACGGUUAAUAUUCCGUCCCCCCAAUGUUUUUUCGAUGAAAGGACGGAGCUUAGUAGUCUGAGCGUCUUAUUGGAUUGACGUUCUUGUCUUAAGGGUGUCUGUUUGGCAAAUCCGGCAGGCAUUAGCCCAAGAGUUGAGAAAAGGUUUUUCUUCGGAAGAAUCGAUUCAGAUGAGCAGGCUUCCAAGAAAAGUUUCUAGAGCCAAAAAUAUUGGGUCCGUACCGCAAACCAACACAGGUGGGUAGGUCGAGUAGACCAAGGCGAACGGGUGAGUCCUCGUGAAGGAACUCGGCAAAACAACGGGCGUAACUUCGGGAUAAGCCCCGCCCCCCACCACUUUUUUAGGAGUGUUCAGUUAGAGUAUACUCAAAGAAAGUGGUGGGGGGCCGCAGCGAAAGAUUCCUGGCGACUGUUUACCAAAAACACAGCUCUCUGCUAACUCGUAAGAGGAUGUAUAGAGAGUGACGCCUGACCAGUGCUAGAAGGUUAACGGUUAACGUCCCCGACUUUACGUCGUGGGGCGAAGGCCCGAAGCCCUAGUAAACGUCAGCGAUAACUAUAAUCGUUCUAAGGUAGCGAAAUUCCUUGACUGGUAAUUUCAGUCCCGCACGAAUGGCGUCACGACUGGGAAACUGUCUCCACGAGGAGCCCGGUGAAAAUGCAGUGGGGGUGAAGAUGCCUCCUACUUGCGGCAAGACGGAAAGACCCCGGAAGCUUUACUACAGGUUCUUAUUGGGGUGUUGUUUUAGAUGCGUAGCAUAGCGGGGAGGCUUUGAAACUUGAUUUUCGGAUUGAGUGGAGCCGCCAGUGAAAUACCCGUCUUCUAACAUAAUACUUCUAACUUCGAGGUAAGAUCUCGAGGGACAGUGGGUGCUGGGUAGUUUGAGUGGGGCGCUCGCCUCCCAAAAGGUAACGGAGGCGUUUAAAGGUCGGCUAGGCCCGGAUGGAAAUCGGGCUGGUUGUGCAAAGGCAAAAGCCGGCUUUACUGCAAGACGGACAUGUCGCGCAGUUGCGAAAGCAGAACUUAGUGAACCGACCGUGGGUUAUAGAACCGCGGAAGAUUAUCGGAUAAAAGCUACUCCGGGGAUAACAGGCUAAUAGCGUCUAAGAGUCCAUAUCGACGACGCUGUUUGGCACCUCGAUGUCGGCUCAUCUUAUCCUGGGGGUGAAGAAGCUCCCAAGGGUUGGGCUGUUCGCCCAUUAAAAAGGUACGCGAGCUGGGUUCAGAUCGGCGUAAGCCAGAUUGGUCCCUAUCUGCCGCAGGCGUUGAUACCUGAGGGAAGUUGCUCAUUGUACGAGAGGAUCCGAGUGAACAAACCUCUGGUCUACCAGUUGUCCCGCCCGGGGCAUCGCUGGGUAGCUAAGUUUGGACGGGAUAAGCACUGAAAGCAUCUAAGUGCGAAGCCUCUCCCAAGAUUAGGUAUCGUAGAUUCGUGGAAGAUGACCACGUGAUAGGCUCUAGGUGUAAGCGCGGCAACGCGUUAAGCCAAGGAGUACUAAUAAAUCAUUUUUAUU
rnacentral:rRNA from 1 species